GACGAACGCUGGCGGCGUGCUUAACACAUGCAAGUCGAACGAUGAUGCUGGAGCUUGCUCCAGUUGAUUAGUGGCGAACGGGUGAGUAACACGUGAGCAAUCUGCCCUUGACUCUGGGAUAACUGCGGGAAACUGUAGCUAAUACCGGAUACUUUCACCGGAAGGCAUCUUCUGGUGAUGAAAGAAUUUCGGUCAGGGAUGAGCUCGCGGCCUAUCAGCUUGUUGGUGAGGUAACGGCUCACCAAGGCGACGACGGGUAGCCGGCCUGAGAGGGGGACCGGCCCAACUGGGAAUGAGAAACGGCCCAGAAUCCUACGGGAGGCAGCAGUGGGGAAUAUUGAACAAUGGGCGCAAGCCUGAUGCAGCAACGCCGCGUGAGGGAUGAAGGCCUUCGGUUUGUAGACCUCUUUUAGCAGGGAAGAAGCGAAAGUGACGGUACCUGCAGAAAAAGCACCGGCUAACUACGUGCCAGCAGCCGCCGUAA
rnacentral:rRNA from 1 species